GAGAGCCCGGUGCCGGGAAACCGGCACGCCGGGUUCGGGCGAGCGGCCAGGGGAGACGACCGUGCGGAAACGCCGGAACCGCGCCCCUGGCCGACUCGCAC
rnacentral:ncRNA from 1 species